CAAAACAGCAACCAGCAGACUGGGAAAAGGUC
rnacentral:piRNA from 1 species